UACAGAGGUCUCAAGCGUUGUUCGGAUUCAUUGGCGUAAAGGGUGCGUAGGCGGCGCGGUAAGUCGGGUGUGAAAUCUCGGGGCUUAACUCCGAAACUGCAUUCGAUACUGCCGUGCUUGAGGACUGGAGAGGAGACUGGAAUUUACGGUGUAGCGGUGAAAUGCGUAGAUAUCGUAAGGAAGACCAGUGGCGAAGGCGGGUCUCUGGACAGUUCCUGACGCUGAGGCACGAAGGUCAGGGAGCAAACGGG
rnacentral:rRNA from 1 species